UACGUAGGGCGCAAGCGUUGUCCGGAAUUAUUGGCGUAAAGAGCUCGUAGGUGGUUUGUUACGUCUGCUGUGAAACCUAGGCUUAACCCUGGGCCUGCAGUGGAUACGGGCAGGCUAGAGGUAGGUAGGGGAGAAUGGAAUUCCCGGUGUAGCGGUGAAAUGCGUAGAGUAUCGGGAGGAACACCAGUGGCGAAGGCGGCCUUCUGGCUCGCGAACUGACGC
rnacentral:rRNA from 1 species